rnacentral:misc_RNA from 1 species
GAUGAAGAACGUAGCGAAAUGCGAUAAGUAGUGUGAAUUGCAGAAUUCAGUGAAUCAUCGAAUCUUUGAACGCACAUUGCGCCUUCUAGUAUUCUGGGAGGCAUGCCUGUUUGAGCGUCAUUAAACCUCUCUCAAGUAUGAUUACUUGGAUGUGAAGGAAGAGUACCUUAAACUUAAGGAGUGUUCUCCUUUGAAAUUGAUUAGCAGAUGGUAAUGUUAUUAAAUCCCUGAUGUUGUAAGAAAUAACAGUGGUUUUGUAGACUAUUAUCUGGCUUUAAAUUAUAAUUUUUAUUAUGGUUGACCUCAAAUCAGGUAAGGAUACCCGCUGAACUUAAGCAUAUCAAUAAGCGGAGGA